rnacentral:rRNA from 2 species
GCUUAGCCCUAAACCUAAGUAGCCGAACAACGACGCCACUCGCCAGAGUACUACUAGCAACAGCUUAAAACUCAAAGGACUUGGCGGUGCUUUACAUCCCUCUAGAGGAGCCUGUUCUGUAAUCGAUAAACCCCGAUAAACCUCACCAACUCUUGCUAAUACAGCCUAUAUACCGCCAUCUUCAGCAAACCCUAAAAAGGAAACAAAGUAAGCAAAAACAUAAAAACAUAAAAACGUUAGGUCAAGGUGUAGCCCAUGAGUUGGAAAGAAAUGGGCUACAUUUUCUAGCAUAGAACAUCAACGAAAAUUUUCGUGAAACCGAAAAUAGAAGGAGGAUUUAGUAGUAAAUUAAGAACAGAGAGCUUAAUUGAAUCAGGCCAUGAAGCAC